AAAGAUUAAGCCAUGCAUGUCUAAGUAUAAGCACUCAUACUGUGAAACUGCGAGUGGCUCAUUAAAUCAGUUAUCGUUUAUUUGAUAGUACCUUUACCUGGAUAACCGUGGUAAUUCUAGAGCUAAUACAUGCUAAAAAUCCCGACUUCGGAAGGGAUGUAUUUAUUAGAUAAAAAACCAAUGCCCUCCGGGGCUCCUUGGUGAUUCAUAAUAACUCAACGAAUCGCAUGGCCUUGCGCCGGCGAUGGUUCAUUCAAAUUUCUGCCCUAUCAACUUUCGAUGGUAGGAUAGUGGCCUACCAUGGUCU
rnacentral:rRNA from 1 species